rnacentral:rRNA from 1 species
AUUGAACGCUGGCGGCAUGCCUUACACAUGCAAGUCGAACGGUAACAGGUCUUCGGAUGCUGACGAGUGGCGAACGGGUGAGUAAUGCAUCGGAACGUGCCCAGUAGUGGGGGAUAGCCCGGCGAAAGCCGGAUUAAUACCGCAUACGACCUGAGGGUGAAAGGGGGGGAUCGCAAGACCUCUCGCUAUUGGAGCGGCCGAUGUCAGAUUAGCUAGUUGGUGGGGUAAAGGCCUACCAAGGCAACGAUCUGUAGUUGGUCUGAGAGGACGACCAGCCACACUGGGACUGAGACACGGCCCAGACUCCUACGGGAGGCAGCAGUGGGGAAUUUUGGACAAUGGGCGCAAGCCUGAUCCAGCAAUGCCGCGUCCAGGAAGAAGGCCUUCGGGUUGUAAACUGCUUUUGUCAGGGAAGAAAUCUUCUGGGUUAAUACCUCGGGAGGAUGACGGUACCUGAAGAAUAAGCACCGGCUAACUACGUGCCAGCAGCCGCCGCGGUAA